rnacentral:rRNA from 1 species
UAUAGUUUAUGCGGUUAUGACUCUUUAUAUGAAUAACUAUACCAAUUGUAGAGCUAAUGCAUGCGUUAAAGUCCCCACUAUACUAUGAAGGGGCGUUUUUAUUAGGUACAGAACCAUCACUGGCGCAAGCCUGACUUGUAGAUGAUUCAUAAUGACUGUACGGAUCGCCAUCACUGGCGACAAUCUGUUCACGUUUCUGACCUAUCAGCUUUCGACGGUAGGGUAUUGUCCUAUCGUGGCGUUGACGGGUAACGGAGAAUUAGGGUUCGAUUCCGGAGAGGGAGCCUGAGAAACGGCUACCACA